UACGUAGGGUGCGAGCGUUGUCCGGAAUUAUUGGGCGUAAAGAGCUCGUAGGCGGUUUGUCGCGUCUGCUGUGAAAACUCGGGGCUCAACUCCGAGCUUGCAGUGGGUACGGGCAGACUAGAGUGCGGUAGGGGAGACUGGAAUUCCUGGUGUAGCGGUGGAAUGCGCAGAUAUCAGGAGGAACACCGGUGGCGAAGGCGGGUCUCUGGGCCGUAACUGACGCUGAGGAGCGAAAGCAUGGGGAGCGAACAGG
rnacentral:rRNA from 1 species